CUUGACUGUGAAGGUGAGAGGUGUGGGGACUUCAUGCAGACACUGUCUGGAAGGCUUUGUAAAUUAUACUUCAAAAGUUGCCAGCUUGACAAGUAAAAAGACUGUUUGUGUAAGACACAUAUUUUUAUCAAAAAUAGCUAACCCUUCUGCUCUUCAUUUCCUCUUCUACCAGGUUUGUUUAUGUGUCAGACAGGUAGACCUGCACAGCUGAUCAUGUUACAUUAUGUGUUCCUAUGAACAUUUGUCUUUUCUUGUUUUUCCCAGUUUUUCCCCUGUUAUCUUGUUUUUAGUAAAGAAUAACAAUAUGCAUAUUGGUAUAAGCAUUGGUGGUGGUAUAGACAAUGAAGUCAGAAGGCAUUUAUAAAUGCAUACAGUACUGACUGGCAACUAUGGAAUCAAAGAAUCAUAGAUCUGUAGAAUUGGAAGGGACCCUGAGGGUCAUCUAGUCCAACCCCCUGCAAUGCAGGAAUCUCAGCUAAAGAUGGCUAUCCAACCUCUGCUGAAAAACCUCCAAGGAAGGAGAGUCCACCAUCUUCCAAGGGAGCACUUUCUGUCAGAAAGUUCUUCUUGAUAUUUAGUCAGAAUCUCCUUUCUUGUAACUUGAAGCCAUUAGUUCGAGUCCCACCCUCCAGAGCAGGAGAAAACAAGCUUAUUCCCUCUUUCAUGUGACAUGUGAAUAAUUGCAUCAUUAACACUGGCUCUUCAAAAGUGCAGUUCACAACAAACUUAGGAAUACCACUUGUAGUUAAGGUUUCUAUCUAAAUUUCCAACCAGUGACAUAUUUGCUCAUUUGUUAGACUUCAUGUUUUUUAUUUGAAUGACAUGCUCACAGUGACAGUAGUUAAAGUUUAAUGUGUCAUAUGAUGUCAUGCCCCUGUGAAUUCCAUGACAUCACCAUGACAUUGCCAGGGGACUCCCUCAGGUUUGGGCCCUGAAAUCUCAGGGUCUGGAAUACUCCUGACUUGACAACCCUUUUCUCUAGUCAUCAAUCAGUACUUGAUUGGGUGGACAGGAUAGUUGUUUCCUCGUUGUAAACUAUACAUAGAUGUCUCUGUCCCAUUUAGGGACCAUUUAUUCCUGUAACCAAGCAAAAUCAUUGUGAAGUAAACAUUUCAUAUUUCAAAUAUGAAAUGUGAAUGGCAAAGAUUGAAGCUAUACUAAAUUUAAAAAAUUUUGAUUAUCCAUUUCAGCUCUGCUAUUCAUGACUUACCUAUAUGACUUUAACUUUAUAAUGUAUUUUACACCUCUUGUUUUGUCUAUUCUCAUAGUAUGUUUGUGAGUAGAGGCACUAUUAAUCUUCCUGUAAAGACGGGGAAUUGAUUUUGAAAAGUAAUGACUUGCCCAAGGCCACAAAAUGACGCCGUAGCAGAAGUGGCAACUUAGCCCAGGUCGCAAAGAUCCAGCUGUGGUCUAUUUUCCUAGGGAAUCUAUCCAACACUACAUCACACAGGGCUUUAUUCAAUAUCUUUGAAUUCAGUUUGGCACAUUCCCUUUCACUGCAGUGUGAACAGCUUUGCUCAACUUAUACCAGUUUAUAUAAACUCAGAAAAAGAGUUUCCCAAUUCCCUUGUACUCACAGUUUCCCUUGAAUAUUUUUAAAAAGUUGCAAAGACCAAAGCAGAAUCCAAUGUCUUCCAUUGAUUCCCUUUUGUAAUAGAAGGCUCUAACAUAAUUCUUGACUUGUCUGUUGCUACAGAUUGGAUUUUUAUUAGCUGACAACUGUUGCCUGUAAAUAAAUAAAUAAAUAAAUAAAUAAAUGCCGUCUUUAAAUAGUGUGCAUUGACAAAAUUAGAUUUCCUACUUGGAUUUUACAUUUAUUUUGUCUGACGUCAUGUAACCAGUAAAUUAGACCAACAACACCUGGGGACCCACAUUUGAAGAAUGCCACAUUAGAUUUUGUCAGCAAUAAUAAAAAUAACAACAGUAGUUGAUACUGGUAAUAGAGUUUAUUCUGAUGAUGAUUAAAUCUCACUAGAAUAGUGCUAAAUAAAAAUCCAUUAAUCACACUUUUGAAUUAUUUAGAAGGGUAUGUGGAGGAAGGGAAUAAAGCAAUGGUUACAAUAUUUUAAACAUCAGCUAAAAUGUCUAAAUAUUUUGUUUUGGGGGUAACUAUGCCUCCCCUCUUCUCUUAGUGGCUCUAUAGAAUAUGGGAUCCAUCAGUUUUGUAUAAACAUACAUAACUGUGUGAGAGAAAAUAUAAGAUGUGGAAACAGAUUUAUUGGGGAAAUUUGUGAUUUUAUUGCCCUUUGGAAUGAAAAGUUUGGGGAAGUUAUUAGAUCACUAGGUUCAUUAGUUAACUCUAUAGUAUUUUAAAUAGAUAGACAAUGUAAUAUUUUCUGUAAAAAGGGUAAAGGUAAAGGUACCCCUGACCGUUAAGUCCAGUCACAGACGACUCUGGGGUUCCGGCGCUCAUCUCGCUUCACUGGCCGAGGGAGCCAGCAUACAGCUUCCAGGUCAUGUGGCCAGCAUGACUAAGCCGCUUCUGGCGAAUCGGAGCAGCGCACGGAAACACCGUUUGCCUUCCCACUGGAGUGGUACCUAUUUAUCUACUUGCACUUUGACGUGCUUUCGAACUGCUAGGUUGGCAGGAGCAGGGACCGAGCAACGGGAGCUCAUCCCAUCGUGGGGAUUCAAACCGCUGACCUUCUGAUCAGCAAGUCCUAGGCUCGGUGGUUUAGCCACAGCGCCACCCGCGUCCCUAAUAUUUUCUGUAUUUCUGUUAAAUGCAUUUAUGUAAAACUUUUAAUUUUUAUUAUUUUUCUGUUAUUUACAUCACCCAUAUAGAAAUUCUUUAAAAGAAAAAGGGAAUUUUUUAAAAAAAUCUUUUGACACUAAACCCAACCCAACAAUUUCAGCUUGAAAAUAUUGUUUUAGAUUCACUUAGAGUCACUAUUCAAACAUCAAGGAAGGAAGGGAAAGAAAGACAUUGAGAUAGGGUUGACAUGAAUCCAGGAAUUCUUGGACAUGUCUUCUUUACAUGCCCAUUCAUGGGGAAUUUUACAUUUUAAAGCAAAUGUCCUGGAUUUUGGGUUAAAAAAUAUAUAUAUUUGUGGGCAGCUCUGGUUGAGGCUCUGGCUUGGGUGGCUUGGGCUCGGCGGCAGUGGAGAUGCUAUCAGAAGCUCAACAGCUUUUGUGUCCAGAUUUUUACCUCUUGAAAUAUGGCAACCCUAAUUGCGAAGGCCUCCCAGCAAUGGGGGUAUUUAGAGGGGAAUGCUGAUCCACAUGUGCCCAAUGCUCACCAAUAAGGCUGCUCUGAUGGUCCUGCCAGAGAAUGUCGUAACCCUUUGGAUUGUUGGGUGAAGUGGGGGAGUUCCCUUUGCAUAUUGGGCAUGGAAGGGUGGUAGAGGAUGGUUCAGGCUGGCAAGAGGUGACCCUCUAUAGUUGUAAAAAGAACGAUCCUACUCAAACCACUACAGUGGUACCUUGGUUUGCAAACAGUCUGGUUUGAAUACGUUUUGGAUUACAAACAUGUCAAACCUGGAAGUGCGUGUCCCGGUUUGGAUUAAAACCCAUAAUUAUUUUUUUUGGAUUAUGAACAAAAAAAUUUUGGAGGCCCCACUGGCGAAAGUGCGCCUUCGGUUACAACCUGUUUUGGUUUAUAAACGGACCUCUGGAACGGAUUAUGGUUGUAAACCAAGGUACCACUGUACUUGCUGCUGAAGUACGUAAUUCAUAAUCCAUCUGUCAAAAAUGGAUGUACUAUCUAGCUGUGAAAAGCUGUGACAAAUAUUUACAGACUUUUGAGGGCCAUGCCUAGUAAAUCACUCUUCCUUAUUCUGUCUAUUUUUGUCUAUUAAGACUGCCUUCAUAUUCUAUGUAUUUAUAUAUUUGCCUUUUGGUCCUAUCCUGUUAAAAAGGUUUAGUAUAAGAUGCUAGGGCUGUCAUUCAGCAUCUCCCCCCCCCCCCAAACAGAAGUUAUUCAUUGGAGUAGAGGCAGAAGAAGACCCCUCAUCUGCAGUGCAUGAGCAUGCAAAUGUGUGCAUGUGGACACUGUGACAUCAUGCCAGCACAGCAUGCAAUUUCGCAAACUGCAGCUGCUGUGAACCAUUCAUAACAUCUUUUAGGAUAUUUAUAUAGUUUUGGUAUAUCUUUGACAGCAACAAAUAACUGGCUUUUUACAUCAGUGAAAGACUGGCAAUUGCUAUUGUAGAGUACAUGAACGCAGCAGGUUGUGUAUUACCGUCUACAACAUGUAGUAGACAGUGAGUGGUUGGUGAUUGGGUAGAGGUGAGGACAAUAAUCCAUGCUAUGAACCUAGGGUGUUGCAAUAAAAACAUGUUUAUAUGUGCAUUAUGUGAGGGCUUGUGUGUCAAUUAUAUUACAAGUUUUUUUUCCCCUGCAGCUUAAAUUUAGAGGGGUUUUUUUGUCUUUUUGACACAUGGUAGCGUAAGCUGCCUGCAGACAAGCCAAAAUAUGCAACCUGUCAUAUUCAAAGCACAUGUUCAUUAUCAUGACAGAUACUGAGUGUCGUGAAAAAUGGUUCUAAUUGUGUGUUUUUUAAUUGUAGAAGCUAAUUCACCUAAUAUAUCUUCUGCUAAAUAUAAUUCAUUGGUUUCUCCUGCUCUGCUGAUACCUAGUUUGGGACAGAAGUUUUCUCCCGAACUCAGGUGAUCUACUCUUAUCAUUCUUGUGAACCCAAAUCUUGUGCCACUUUAAACUUACAUCCAGGACUUUUUUUCAGCUGGAAUUUGCUGGAACUCAGUUCUGGCCCCUCUCAGGUGGGGGCUACUGCCAUUAUAAGAGAACAAGGGAGGCCUUCGUGGUGAGUUCCAGCACCUCUUUUUCUAGAAAAAUAGCACUGCUUACAUCCCUGAUUCAAGGUUACCCAAGCAAUCAUACUACAGAAUAUCAUUGUAUUUAAAUUUAUGUUUUUAACACUUGAAUCAUUUAUGGGUUUAUAAAUGGUUCUGUCUCAUCAACUCAUUCAGUUUUAAUCUAGCAAUUAUUGCUUUAAUUUUCUCUUCAAUUCUUUGGUUUUACCUUUUGUUUUUUGUUUUUCUUUACAAAAAGAAUAAUGAAGCGAAAAUAGGGCUGACUCAGAACAACAAGCGUCUGUUGUAGUCUUUCUGAAACUCUUUUUGAGUUCUUCAGAGUUUCUCAGAUUUUUUUACUUGAGUAUUUUCUUGCCAUUUCUCUUUAGGCCAUACUAGACACUCAAGUGAAACUGAGCUACCAUAGAAAUUCUGCUAAGCUUAUUAAAAUUCCUUCAUCUUCCUUUGAAAUCCUAAGAUAUUGCAAUCAAGGAGGAAGCCUUACAUUUACUUGAUAUUUCACUUUAAGAUAAACAUUUAGUGGAAAUUAUGCCUUUGGUUUCUCUGUCAUGUAACUCCUCACAUUUCUUGGGGAAACCUUAUUGCUUUACUGAGCUCACCAGAGCAAAAUAAUGAAACCGAGGUCUCAUUGACUUUUUGCCCUGUAAUUUCUAGGCACAGGCUCACACUUUUCCGGUUUGUGUCAAAGCACUUCCCCCUAUCCCCACCCCACUCUUUUCCCCAGGGAAGCACAAACUCGGAACAAAUGGCAAUUUGGGUGUUCCACAGAUUGCUGUUUGCUCUGAUUCAGCAGUAGUGAGUGAAAAUCCCGGGGAAGGGGAGCACUCAGACACAGACCUGGAAAGCUUGGACCUGUGCCUAGAAAUGCAGAGCAAAGGUAGGUUGGGUGAACCACGAGUUUGUGAAGCUCAGAAGCUCAAUUCUAUGCAAAGAUGUUUAAUCCACUGUAAGCAUACCUUUGACUGCAGUCCUAAAUACACUUACACACCUGCUAAAAGGAGUAUUAAAAGACCGAGAUUUGAAGUAAUGUGUAACCAGUUCUGUGGACAAUAAAGUGCUUUUGACUUUUUCUCCCCAACUGAAGCCCCUGCUUUCUCCAGGCUUGAAGACAAACCACUUCUGAACUGAAUGAGAAUUUCAUGUGCAGAUUACAGCAUGGAGAGGUAUGCUGCUCCAAAAUACAAUAAAAAAUCGAGCUGAGUGGAGCAAUCCCCAUGGGUGUACCAAAAGUAGCUCUUUGAAUUGUGCCUGUCAUUUAUAAAAUCACAAUGAAUUAUAUAGCUCUUGUUUGCAAAGUCAUUAAUGACAGCUUAUGAAUGUGUACAAUCAAUAAUAUAGGGGGAUUUACUGGAAAACAGAAUGAAAGACCUUGCCCAAAGCCACAGAGAAAGUCACUGUAGAAAUUGAACUCUACAUUUCUAGCUUUUGGUGACAUAUAAGCUACACUUUAGUAUCCGAUGUCUGAAGCCUCCCAUUUUAUUUUCCUAGUGAGCAUUAAAUGCACCUUGAGAAACACUGUACACUAUAUUUGCUUGUGUAACUUAAGAAAUCCACAGUCUAAGAGAAUAGGAGAAAAUGCAGUUCAGGGAAUGCUGAACCAUGGAAGCCAGAGGGAAGGACUGUUAGGGUAUCCAGUAGAAAACGUUGGAAACAUUGGAAAUGACACUAAUACAAUGAAAAGGCCAACACUGCAUUAUCAGGAUCAACAAAAUAAUAAAUCAGUCAUUGGGGAGAUUUUUUAAACAACAACAUGGAAUGAAUUAUGAAAUGCAAACACAAAGCUGGAACCAGCCUAUCUAUGGAAUGCUUCUAAGUUUAUUUACAAGGGAACACACUAACAGAUUACUCGUGGCAUCGACAGUAAAUAUAUUUUUAUCCUGGAUGACUGCAGGAUCUGUGUGGCAGAGGGAUUAAGUUAAUUGGGAAGAGUUGAAAGCAGCAAAUCUCUGGGAACAGGCAGACUUCAAGUCAGG